rnacentral:rRNA from 1 species
GACGAACGCUGGCGGCGUGCUUAACACAUGCAAGUCGAACGGAAAGGCCCUGCUUUUGUGGGGUGCUCGAGUGGCGAACGGGCGAGUAACACGUGAGUAACCUGCCCUUGACUUUGGGAUAACUUCAGGAAACUGGGGCUAAUACCGGAUAGGAGCUCCUGCUGCAUGGUGGGGGUUGGAAAGUUUCGGCGGUUGGGGAUGGACUCGCGGCUUAUCAGCUUGUUGGUGGGGUAGUGGCUUACCAAGGCUUUGACGGGUAGCCGGCCUGAGAGGGUGACCGGCCACAUUGGUACUGAGAUACGGCCCAGACUCCUACGGGAGGCAGCAGUGGGGAAUAUUGCACAAUGGGCGGAAGCCUGAUGCAGCAACGCCGCGUGCGGGAUGACGGCCUUCGGGUUGUAAACCGCUUUCGCCUGUGACGAAGCGUGAGUGACGGUAAUGGGUAAAGAAGCACCGGCUAACUACGUG